rnacentral:lncRNA from 1 species
CUCUGAGACGGCUCACAGACAGGAGAUCUUUGUACGCCUGCCUGGUUGCCCUGCUCAGGACCCAGGGCAGAAAGAAGGGCAGGGCAUGGAGAAGAUGCUUUCUCCAGGAUCAGAAGUUGAGGACAACUGAACAGCCAAAGAAAAUAGCCCAAGAGGGAAACCAAAGAGAUUUAGGAUGCCUCAAUGGAAGGUUCUUGACAAAGCUCCAAGACUGCUUAUACCUGACAGCAAGAAGAGAUGACAAAGAGGAAGAGCUGACACCAUGUGGCACAUGGGUCAGGCACACAAGCAGCCGGAGGCACCUGUCACCACCCAAUACCUGUAACCCACCUGUAACCCCAUUGCCGGGACAUUCCAACUUAAUGAUGUGGAAAGAGCCCCCUGGUGCAGUGUUGGCGGCGGCGCACAGUCGUGAGGAGUACAUGUGCAAGGGCCCGGAAGCCGUUGUUAUAGUACCUGGAGUAUCAUUGACCCUCAGAGAUGAACAUUCAGGAACCGAGUUCAGAUCACAGCUGUCCUGCCCCGACGACCGGCUUCUCAUUUGUCUGAAAAGUUCCCAACGUUUCCAGCCUGGGCUGCAGAAUGGCUCCCACAAAGAAGGCUGGUAAGCAGAAAGGCUGUCGUGCCAUGGACACUCAGAACCGCGUCCGUGGAGUGGCUUUCCAGAAGCGUGCCCCUGGGCACUCAAAGAAUCCAGACAUUUGCCACGAAGGACACGGGCACUCCAGAGGUGAACACAAACACAGGCUCCGCAAAGCUGUCUGGGCUGAAGGAGUAGCGGGUGUCGCCUGCCGUAUCUGUGUGCAGUGGUCCAGAAUGCAACGCAGAUGAGGACUCACCAAACAAGCUCUGUAUGUUGGGUACCUCUGGGCCUGUCACCAUGUUCAAAAACCUACACAGUUAAUAUGGAUGAGAACUAACCACUGAUUUGUCAAGUAAAGAUAUAAACCCACAAAAGCAAUAUUAAUAAAAUAAAAAACAUAAAGCUCCCA